GCAGUUGCACCGCAUCUCAUCUCAUUUAUUACCAACCCACUCCUCUCUCUCUCUCUCUCUCUCAUCUCUCGUCGUUUUCUCUCUCCUCGAUCGAGGGCACGCGACGCGCCAUGGCGUCGGCGGCGGAGGCGGUGGAGGAGCUCACGAGGCUGUACCGGGAGCUCCCGCCGCGCCCCGCCGUCGAGGAGGUGGAGGCGGCGGAGGCCGUGCUGGCCUCGGCCGACGCGGAGGAGGCGGCGCGCCUCGAUGAGGUGGCGCGGGAGGAGGCCUCGGCCUCAGCGUCCUCGUCGGCGGCGGCGCCGGGGCGGGCCGACGGGGAGCUCCUCGCCGUGCUGCGGGAGGCCAGGCGCAACGCCGUGCGGCUCCGCGCGCUGCAGCAGCGGAAGGAGGCCGCGUACGUCGUCGAGCUCGAGAGGCGCUUCAAGGUGUUCGACGAUUUGAUCCAGAGGGCGUCGCGGGUGGUCUCCUCCUCCUCCGACGCCGCCGAAGCGGGAGGGGGAACCACCGGCGAUGGAUACGUUGGUGUUGGUGCGGACAGCGUGGACCUGGAGAUGGAGCUGAGGAAGAAGGAGGCGGCGGUUGCGGCCGCGGCCGCCGUCGCGGAGAUGGAGCGCGGAAGCAAGGGUCUCGCUGCCCUGGGCUUGGAGUCCAAGCCCAUCUCCUCGCUACGCCGUGAUGUCUCUGCAGGUACUGACAUGGAAAAAUUGAGCCUUAUCCAAGUGGCAAGCCUGAUAGAGUCAUCAGCAAAGAAAGGGAUCACAGAACUCAGCCUCCGGGGGAAACUGGUCGACCAGAUCGAGUGGCUCCCUGUUUCACUCGGCAAAUUGCAAGAUGUUACCGAGCUUGAUCUUUCCGAGAAUAGGAUCAUGGCACUCCCAUCAACAAUUGGCAGCCUUAGAUAUUUGACAAAGCUUGACCUACACUCAAAUCAGCUGAUCAAUCUGCCCGACGCGUUUGGGGAACUCUCCAACCUAAUUGAUCUUGACCUGCAUGCCAACCAGCUUAAGUCUCUUCCUUCAUCAUUUGGAAAUCUCACGAGCCUAGCAAACCUUGACCUGAGCUCAAAUAUGUUGAAGGCUCUUCCAGAUUGUUUAGGAAAAUUGGCAAACUUGAGAAGAUUAAUUGUUGAGACAAAUGAGCUUGAGGAGCUACCCUAUACUAUUGGAUCUUGCACAUCUCUUGUGGAGCUUAGGUUGGAUUUCAAUCAGUUAAAAGCCCUUCCAGAGGCCAUUGGGAAGUUGGAGAAGCUGGAAAUACUGACAUUGCACUAUAACAGAAUCAAAGGAUUGCCUACAACAGUGGGUUCACUUUCCAGAUUGAGAGAGCUGGAUGUCAGUUUUAAUGAGGUUGAAGUAAUCCCUGAGAACAUUUGCUUUGCGACAAGUCUUGUGAAGUUGAAUCUCAGCAGGAAUUUUGCAGACUUAAGAGCACUGCCGAAAUCAAUAGGAAAUCUUGAGAUGCUAGAGGAGCUGGACAUAAGCAGUAACCAGAUACGGGUACUGCCAGAUUCGUUCAGGUGUCUUUCGAGGCUACGUGUAUUUCAUGCUGAUGAGACUCCACUUGAAUUUCCACCAAGAGAAGUUGUAAAGUUAGGGGCUCAGGCUGUGGUCAAGUAUAUGAAUGAUUUGAAUGCUGCAAGAGGAACAAACCAGAAGAAAACAGAUCGGGGAAGCUUCUGGACCUGGCUCUUCUCGCUGUUUGGUUGUUGCAAAAAGAACCAAGAAGUGGGAUUGCCAGUAUAACUGAAGCAUUUCAUCAUCUGUAUGUAUGUUGUGAAUUACUCAGCAGGAAGAGUCAAGAGAUACAAGGAAGGUGAAACUAUUCAGAAAGCAAAAAAACCAGCUGCGCAGAUUAGUCCCUGAAGCUCCAUAAGGUACACCGCAAUAUAUUUUUCAAGGCCGCUACACCAUCCUGAAAAUAUUGAUAAUGUUUCAAAAUAAACUUCAUCAUAUUGCUAUGCUCCAAGACACUUGUAGAAAUACAAACAUGGUUCUCUACAGACAUUUUAUUUACUUAUGCAAACAACAAAUCUUAGUUCUGUUCAGCAAGUCUAUUGCAUCAGAAUUUGACCUAUUGGGUCUAAUGGUUUUGUUGUAAAACUAUAUUAAUUUGUUACUGCAUCAAACAUGUACUCAAAGGUGAAGGUUGAGUUUCGUUUAUUUUCCCAGUAUUCUGAA